UACGGGGGGGCAAGCGUUGUUCGGAAUUACUGGGCGUAAAGGGCUCGUAGGCGGCCAACUAAGUCAGACGUGAAAUCCCUCGGCUUAACCGGGGAACUGCAUCUGAUACUGGAUGGCUUGAGUUCGGGAGAGGGAUGCGGAAUUCCAGGUGUAGCGGUGAAAUGCGUAGAUAUCUGGAGGAACACCGGUGGCGAAGGCGGCAAUCCUGGACCGACACUGACGCUGAGGAGCGAAAGCCAGGGGAGCAAACGGGG
rnacentral:rRNA from 1 species